CCCUUAGAUGUUCUGGGCCGCACGCGCGCUACACUGAUGCAUUCAACAAGCCUAGCCUUGACCGAGAGGUCCGGGUAAUCUUUGAAACUGCAUCGUGAUGGGGCUAGAUUAUUGCAAUUAUUAAUCUUCAACGAGGGAUGCCUAGUAAGCGUGAUUCAUCAAAUCGCGUUGAUUACGUCCCUGCCCUUUGUACACACCGCCCGUCGCUCCUACCGAUUGAAUGUGUUGGUGAGGAGCUCGGAUUGGCAGCAGUUGGUGGUUCGCCACCGGCUAUUGCUGAGAAGUCCUCCAAACCGCCCCAUUUAGAGGAAGGAGAAGUCGUAACA
rnacentral:rRNA from 1 species